rnacentral:rRNA from 1 species
AAAGGGGAGCAAUCCCUGAGUAAAGUGGCGCACGGGUGAGUAACACGUGAAUAAUCUACCUCCGAGUGGGGAAUAACUGAGAGAAAUCUUAGCUAAUACCGCAUAAUACCCACGGGUCAAAGCAGCAAUGCGCUUGGAGAGGAGUUCGCGGCCGAUUAGCUAGUUGGCGGGGUAAUGGCCCACCAAGGCGAUGAUCGGUAUCCGGCCUGAGAGGGCGCACGGACACACUGGAACUGAAACACGGUCCAGACUCCUACGGGAGGCAGCAGUGGGGAAUUUUGCGCAAUGGGGGAAACCCUGACGCAGCAACGCCGCGUGGAGGAUGAAGCCCCUUGGGGUGUAAACUCCUUUCGAUCGGGAAGAUAAUGACGGUACCGAUAUAAGAAGCCCCGGCUAACUUCGUGCCAG